rnacentral:lncRNA from 1 species
UGUGGAAGGUCGAACGUUGGAGGAGUCCGGGAUUCAAUUCUGUUGUAAAAGUUUGGACGGAGUCUGGCUCUUGUAGGAGUCUGAAAGGAGGCUGCUUACUGUGGAAGCUUGGACGAAGACCGGUUGCUGUGGAAGCUCGGAUGGAGACUUCUUAUUGUAGAAGCUCAGAUGAAGUCCACUUGCUAUAAAAGUUCAGAGUAGAGAUCCAGCUGGUGGAGCCC